GGGCGAGUGGUGGAACUGGUAGACACGCUAGCCUUAGGAGCUAGUGGAGCAAUCCGUGUGGGUUCGAGUCCCACCUCGCCCACCA
rnacentral:tRNA from 1 species